AACGAACGCUGGCGGCAGGCCUCAAACAUGCAAGUCUAGGGGGUGUAGCAAUACAUCACCGGCGGACGGGUGCGUAACGCGUGGGAAUAUACCUAUCGAUUCGGAACAACUGAGGGAAACUUCAGCUAAUACCGAAUACGUCCUAACGGAGAAAGAUUUAUCGUCGAUAGAUUAGCCCGCGUUCGAUUAGCUAGUUGGUGGGGUAACGGCCCACCAAGGCGACGAUCGAUAGCUGUUCUGAGAGGAAGAUCAGCCACACUGGGACUGAGACACGGCCCAGACUCCUACGGGAGGCAGCAGUUGGGAAUCUUGGACAAUGGGGGGAAACCCUGAUCCAGCCAUGCCGCGUGAGUGAUGAAGGCCUUCGGUUGGUUAAAACUACUUUCGUCGCACGACGAUAAUGACGGUAGUGCGAGAAGAAGAC
rnacentral:rRNA from 1 species